UGGGGAAUAUUGCACAAUGGGCGCAAGCCUGAUGCAGCCAUGCCGCGUGUAUGAAGAAUGCCUUCGGGUUGCAAAGUACUCUCAGCGGGGAGGAAGGGAGUAAAGUUAAUACCUUUGCUCAUUGACGUUACCCGCAGAAGAAGCACCGGCUAACUCCGUGCCAGCAGCCGCGGUAAUACGGAGGGUGCAAGCGUUAAUCGGAAUUACUGGGCGUAAAGCGCACGCAGGCGGUUUGUUAAGUCAGAUGUGAAAUCCCCGUGCUCAACCUGGGAACUGCAUCUGUUACUGGCAAGCUUGUGUCUCGCAGAGGGGGGUAGAAUUCCAGGUGUAGCGGUGGAAUGCGUAGAGAUCUGGUGGAAUACCGGUAGCGGAGGCGGCCCCCUGGACGAAGACAGACGCACAGGUGCGAAAGCGUGGGGAGCAAACAGG
rnacentral:rRNA from 1 species